GCAGGUGGCAGUGGUGUAUUUGAAAGUCGGCAGUAUCCUGACAGCGAUUAGAAUGUCCUCCGUCUCCUAGUCUUCUUGAUUCUUAAAUUCUGUGGAGCUCAAAUAGACAACAAAGCUUUGUGGAACUGAUUAAGUGUUAGCAUAAAUAUCUAGCCUUUAUCAUGUUGAGACUCCUCAAUAAAUAUCACUCUCUAUUUUUAUAUUUUCAUUUUAUAAAGCAGAAAAAAUAUUUAUUUUAUUUUUAUGCCACCACAGUGAAUGUACUUAUGGGUUUUAUACCACUCGUAUACUCACAUGGGGCUUACUAUUUUUAACAUUUUUAUUUUCUUUUUAGGAUAGUAUGAACAUAAUUAACUAAGAAAACUAUUUUCAAUAAUUGAAAGGAAAAGGAUAACUACCAAGUUUACCUCUUGGAAAGGUGUUCGGUGUUUUUAAGUCCUCCGAACGGGACUCUCCGUUUUCUAGUUGUCUUGGGAUUCGUUGGGUGGCGCAGUCGGUGCUUCCGGCAGCGCCUCUUCUUCAUGUAUAGUUAUCUUCUCUUUCUACACCUGACUCGGUGCUACGGUCUCCUCUGGAUAAUUCUGUUUAAACUGUAUGUCUUCAGACCUUACCACUUCUCCUUCAUAGUCUGCCCAUCCGUCCUUGAUGAUUUGCCUCUUCUGGUUGUGGUUACGUCGCUUUCUGACCUGCUUAGAGUCUUCAACGAUAUAGUUAGGGUCAGUAAAAUAGCGGCGUAACUUCUCUGAGGGGAAGUGCAUAUGGACUUCUCCAGUUCCAAUGUAGAUGAUUGCUUUAACGGUGCUGAGGAACGGUCUUCCAAGGAUGAUGGAUGGAUCGUAUUCGUCUUCUCCCAUGUCAAUAACCUGAAAGUCUAUGU
rnacentral:lncRNA from 1 species